rnacentral:tRNA from 1 species
GCUCCCGUAGCCCAAUGCAGAGGCAGCGGACUUAAACCCCGCUCAGUGUCGGUGCGACUCCGGCCGGGAGCA